UUUAUGCCGGCGACCGGCGCACGGGUGGGUAACACGUAUGCAACCUGCCCGUCUCAGGGGGAUAAUCGUCGGAAACGGCGUCUAAUACCCCGUAUGAAGCUGGACGGCAUCGUCUGGUUUUGAAAGAAUAUCGGAGACGGAUGGGCAUGCGGCGCAUUAGCUAGUUGGCGGGGUAACGGCCCACCAAGGCGACGAUGCGUAGGGGUUCUGAGAGGAAGGUCCCCCACACUGGUACUGAGACACGGACCAGACUCCUACGGGAGGCAGCAG
rnacentral:rRNA from 1 species